rnacentral:rRNA from 1 species
UUGAGCGCUGGCGGCAUGCCUUACACAUGCAAGUCGAACGGUAACGCGGGGCAACCUGGCGACGAGUGGCGAACGGGUGAGUAAUAUAUCGGAACGUGCCCAGUAGUGGGGGAUAGCCCGGCGAAAGCCGGAUUAAUACCGCAUGAGACCUAAGGGUGAAAGCGGGGGAUCGCAAGACCUCGCGCUAUUGGAGCGGCCGAUAUCAGAUUAGGUAGUUGGUGGGGUAAAAGCCUACCAAGCCGACGAUCUGUAGCUGGUCUGAGAGGACGACCAGCCACACUGGGACUGAGACACGGCCCAGACUCCUACGGGAGGCAGCAGUGGGGAAUUUUGGACAAUGGGCGCAAGCCUGAUCCAGCCAUGCCGCGUGCGGGAAGAAGGCCUUCGGGUUGUAAACCGCUUUUGUCAGGGAAGAAAUCUUCUGGGCUAAUACCUCGGGAGGAUGACGGUACCUGAAGAAUAAGCACCGGCUAACUACGU